CUGAUCUGUCCACCUGGAACCAGCUGGGGCUAUAGCCACACCGGGCUGUGCUCCAGCUUCUGAGGCCUCUGCUGGGGAGUCCCCGAGAGCCCUCUGAGCUCUGCCUUUCGCACGGUCUCUCUAGCAGGUGGAGAGGGGAUGCUGGUGGCUGAGAACCACUGCGGGGCGGGGUGGACAGUGUGAGCCUGGGCUCUCAACACCAGCCAUGCAUUUCGGCAUCCCUAAUUCUUUGUUUUGCCUUUAAUCUUUAUUAAAUUACUGUCGAAACUAACUCACUCUUCAUAAUUUUCACAAAGUAGUCUAGGUGAAAUAAAACAGACUUUGGAGCCAGAAGAAUCGAAAUAAAAUUCUCAUUUCCCAAUUACUUGCUGUGCUACCUGGUACAAAUGACUUGGCCUGUCUGAGCCUGUCUGCAUUUUUAAAAGGAAGUAACGACACCUGCCUCAUGAUACAGCUGAAAGGACUAAGUUAGAUGAAAUGUCUCUGGUCCUGAGCAGGGCACCAGUGGUGCCCACGGUGCCGGUUACUGGGGUGAGUGUCACUUGUGUUGAACUGAGCAGGGGGCCAAGCGCCAGUCCUGGGCUGUAUCUGUAUCUCCACGGAAGAUCAAAACGUGGGGGCCGAGGAGUCCUCUAUGGAUUGUUUCUUCUGAACAGAAACAGUGUGUGAAGUCAAGCGGGGGAGCCCUCCCUUUCCAGAAGCGAGUCAUUGAAGAAAUGCCCCUGUGCGGACUCCCCACACGUUAGCACUGGCGGCCAGGCCGGCCUCCCAUGGAGAGCCCCUCUUCAGAGCCACCUUGCCCCCAUUUCCCCCUCAACUGCUCAGCUCACUGGGGAGGAAGGCAGCGAAGUUGUAAAAACUUACUUUUUGGAAAAAUAAGAAUUAUGGGGAAGGACAUUAAUUUAAAAGCUUUUAAGGAGCCAAUUCACCUGUGAAAGUGCUCCCCAGGUGAGGGCCUUCCUGUGUGGAGAACAGCCCGGUCUUUAAAAGCAUUUUAAUUAAUGUUGCUGAGAAACACGCUGAUGGUAUUUAAGUCUGAAGAGCAAAGGUACCAGCCAAGAGUUUUAUGACGUGGUGCUAGUUCUCUUAAAGGCUGUUGAAAUAAUGUUCCCGUGCACUCAGCCUCCCCACUUAGUGCGGGUGGCGGCCAAGAGGAAGUGCUGGAAUCCUCGGUGGCCUAACCCCGGCCCUCAGGACAGAACAGAAGGCAGGCGGCCCCGGCCAGGACAUGCCCAGUGGAAUUUCAGAGGCACUUUCGGGAACACAGCGCCUUCGCACCUUCUGCUCGGUACACACCUCGAGGGGUGGCAGCCAGCUCUUGGCGGCCCACCCAGCACCCUGAAGCCUGAACUGCCUGGACUGUCGCUGAGCAAAUGCCAGGGCCCGAAGAGGACCUGGAAGAGGGCGGGUGAGGGGCUGCAGGCGUGUGGGGCCUGGAUGAUCCCAUCUUGACGACGAGCUGGGAACCGCAGACCGGUGUCAUCCUGGCUGGAGAUGGAGGUCUCUACAUGGCUCCCUGUGUGGCCAGACCACUGUGGCUGGACCAGAGUUUCCCGAUAGCCUCUGGGAAUGGCAGGGACAGUGGGGGAGGAGGUCCCAGGGGAUUUUAUUAACAGAAGGGGGGAGAGAGGGUAGAGAAAGGUAAUGGGAACAAGUAGCUGAAAAUAUGCCCUGGAGAGCAGGGGAGGAGGCUGAGCAGGCAACUUCAAAAGGGAUGGAAGAAAAUGGGGGCUGCGGAGAGUUGAAGAGUGACCCCAAAAGAUAUGUCCAUCCAGAACCUCAGAAUGUGACCUUGUUUGGAAUAAGGGCUUUUGAGGAUAUAAUUCAGCAGCCCGGGGGCACAGGCACGCAGAAGAGACUUUCCCACAGCGGUUCCCAGAGCCCUGGAUGAGGCGUCCUCCAAAGGAUUAUGUCACCAAGUUUCUGCAGGUGAUGAGUUUGGGAGCUGUUGGGUCAACUGAAGGUCAUAUAUGCCAGGCGGGUAAUCUUGCUUGUGGCCACACUCCUCUUCCUGGGACCUGAGCCUGCCCUCCUGCUCCUGAGUAGUUCAUUGUGAUGCUGUCUGCUGUGGCUGUGGAGUGCUACGCGCUGGCCAGCCUGAGGGCGACCUGUACCGCCUUGGCCAAACCCUUUACCCCACUGAGAGAUACCUCCCUCAUCUGCAGCGAGAGUCCCUACCUUGUAGGGCAGUGUGAAGGAUGUCCUGAGAUGGUCAGGACUUAGCACCCUGUAAGCACAAGAGCUGUUCUUGGUGGCGUUAUGAUCACACCCACAGAUAGGGCCUCAGGCAGGCCUCAGUGUCCUCCUGGCUGGCCACGUGCUACGGAUGUCCCCAUGCACUUGAUGUGUCAGCAGCAGAAGGACCUUCAGGAGGAGGCAACGAUGGGAUGAGACGAGGCUCAAAGGAGGAUGUUGCCGCGCAGAGACGUUUCGGGAAUAUGAGGCAGGUCACCACCUAUGAUUCUUGUGGUAGUGGAGGAAUGGUGGCGGCUGUCAUUGUGACACCCACUUUAGAGACAGGAAACUGAGCUUCAGAGAGGGGGAGUCCAGGCCCCACAGCACACAGCCAGGAAAGGGCCGGGCAGAAGGGGCUUUGGGUUUUAACCUAACUCACCCCGACUGCCUGCUUCUUCACCCAGCCAUCAUGGAACGUCUCUGUGCCUCUUCCCUGCUCUCGUGGAGGCCUGGGUCAGGCAGCUGCCCAGAGGCAGACGUGCACUGUGACCCUAGAAGACUGUUCCAGACAGGCCAGCCCAGGCAGAGACAAAACAGGGACCUGCUCCUCAUUGGUGUCACGACCAAAUGCAGGGGAUUUGCUAAGGGAGGCGCAGCCAUGAAUUGGGAGCCAGCUUCGUGCUCUGCCACUCCUUCUUGCUAAUCCCUCGAAAAUCCAAUCAGAGCUGUUUCCCUCCAUGAAACCAACUGGACACAGCACAUACUGGCCGGACCUCUGCCAGCAUGGAGUGGAUCUUUUUUCUGUUUAAAGAACCAGGUUUCAAAUGUUCUUAAUAAAACGUUUAUAUAUAUCAUGCAGGGUGCAAAUAAAUAUUUUAAUAUAAUUGGAAGAAUGUAGAGAAUUGUAAAAAGUUAUGGAAGUUUUACUUCUGAUUGGCCAAGACUCAAUAAACUCUGGUUUGAUGUACUCUAAUUUAUAGGCGUGCAAAGCCAACUCUUUGGCAUCAGAGAGGCCGUUAACGUUGUAAUGAUGUUUAAACGCUGACAAAUGAGCUGCUUGGGCGGCACCUUCAGCCCUGAGAAUGGAACUGUUGGAGCUGGAGGACUUGCCUGUCCCCAGCUUUCUCCCUUCCUCCCGUGCUGGUGGAGCAGGUUAAGGGCAGGAGGACUGUUCAUUGGGGCGACUGCUCCCCAUCGGUUGAGGGGAGGGCACAAAGGGGACCCAUGGCUUCUUUUUCACUGUUGUCCCUAAUUAUGGUCUUUCUCAUUAAAAUAACAAGG
rnacentral:lncRNA from 10 species